AUGUCUACUAGUCGUUGGGUCCCUUGAGGACUUAGUGACGCAGCUAACGCAAUAAGUAGACCGCCUGGGGAGUACGGCCGCAAGGUUAAAACUCAAAUGAAUUGACGGGGGCCCGCACAAGCGGUGGAGCAUGUGGUUUAAUUCGAUGCAACGCGAAGAACCUUACCUGGUCUUGACAUAUCUAGAAUCCUGCAGAGAUGCGGGAGUGCCUUCGGGAAUUAGAAUACAGGUGCUGCAUGGCUGUCGUCAG
rnacentral:rRNA from 1 species